AGUGAACGCUGGCGGUAGGCCUAACACAUGCAAGUCGAGCGGCAGCACAGUAAGAGCUUGCUCUUACGGGUGGCGAGUGGCGGACGGGUGAGGAAUACAUCGGAAUCUACUUUUUCGUGGGGGAUAACGUAGGGGAACUUACGCUAAUACCGCAUACGACCUACGGGUGAAAGCAGGGGAUCUUCGGACCUUUCGCGAUUGAAUGAGCCGAUGUCGGAUUAGCUAGUUGGCGGGGUAAAGGCCCACCAAGGCGACGAUCCGUAGCUGGUCUGAGAGGAUGAUCGGCCACACUGGAACUGAGACACGGUCCAGACUCCUACGGGAGGCAGCAGUGGGGAAUAUUGGGCAAUGGGCGCAAGCCUGAUCCAGCCAUACCGCGUGGGUGAAGAAGGCCUUCGGGUUGUAAAGCCCUUUUAUUGGGAAAGAAAAGCAGCAGGUUAAUACCCCGCUGUUCUGACGGUACCCAAAGAAUAAGCACCGGCUAACUUCGUG
rnacentral:rRNA from 1 species